UAGGGAAUCUUCCACAAUGGACGCAAGUCUGAUGGAGCAACGCCGCGUGAGUGAAGAAGGUUUUCGGACCGUAAAGCUCUGUUGUUGGUGAAGAAGGAUAGAGGUAGUAACUGGCCUUUAUUUGACGGUAAUCAACCAGAAAGUCACGGCCAACUACGUGCCAGCAGCCGCGGUAAUACGUAGGUGGCAAGCGUUGUCCGGAUUUAUUGGGCGUAAAGCGAGCGCAGGCGGAAGAAUAAGUCUGAUGUGAAAGCCCUCGGCUUAACCGAGGAAUUGCAUCGGAAACUGUUUUUCUUGAGUGCAGAAGAGGAGAGUAGAACUCCAUGUGUAGCGGUGGAAUGCGUAGAUAUAUGGAAGAAUACCAGUGGCGAAGGCGGCUCUCUGGUCUGCAACUGACGCUGAGGCUCGAAAGCAUGGGUAGCGAACAGGAUUAGAUACCCUGGUAGUCCAUGCCGUAAACGAUGAGUGCUAAGUGUUGGGAGGCUUCCGCCUCUCAGUGCUGCAGCUAACGCAUUAAGCACUCCGCCUGGGGGAGUACGACCGCAAGGUUGAAAC
rnacentral:rRNA from 1 species